rnacentral:tRNA from 1 species
UCUUUGUUAGUUUAUUUAAAACGUUGAUUUGUGGGAUCACAAAAGGUUCAAUCCACAAAGU